rnacentral:rRNA from 1 species
CAGUAAUUCGUAACGAGUUACCCGCCUGUAAGACUGGGAUAACUCCGGGAAACCGGGGCUAAUACCGGAUGCUUGUUUGAACCGCAUGGUUCAAACAUAAAAGGUGGCUUCGGCUACCACUUACAGAUGGACCCGCGGCGCAUUAGCUAGUUGGUGAGGUAAUGGCUCACCAAGGCAACGAUGCGUAGCCGACCUGAGAGGGUGAUCGGCCACACUGGGACUGAGACACGGCCCAGACUCCUACGGGAGGCAGCAGUAGGGAAUCUUCCGCAAUGGACGAAAGUCUGACGGAGCAACGCCGCGUGAGUGAUGAAGGUUUUCGGAUCGUAAAGCUCUGUUGUUAGGGAAGAACAAGUACCGUUCGAAUAGGGCGGUACCUUGACGGUACCUAACCAGAAAGCCACGGCUAACUACGUGCCAGCAGCCGCGGUAAUACGUAGGUGGCAAGCGUUGUCCGGAAUUAUUGGGCGUAAAGGGCUCGCAGGCGGUUUCUUAAGUCUGAUGUGAAAGCCCCCGGCUCAACCGGGGAGGGUCAUUGGAAACUGGGGAACUUGAGUGCAGAAGAGGGAGAGUGGAACUCCACGUGUAGCGGUGAAAUGCGUAGAGAUGUGGGAGGAACACCCGUGGGCGAAGGCGACUCUCUGGUCUGUAACUGACGCUGAGGAGCGAAAAGCGUGGGGGAGCGAACAGGAUUACAUACCCGGGUAGUCCACGCCCGUAAACGAUGAGUGCUAAGUGGUUAGGGGGUUUCCGCCCCUUAAUGCUGCAGC